rnacentral:rRNA from 1 species
GAUGAACGCUGACAGAAUGCUUAACACAUGCAAGUCAACUUGAACUUCGGUUUGGGUGGCGGACGGGUGAGUAACGCGUAAAGAACUUGCCUCACAGAUAGGGACAACAUUUGGAAACGAAUGCUAAUACCUGAUAUUAUGAUUAUAUGGCAUCGUAUAAUUAUGAAAGCUAUAUGCGCUGUGAGAGAGCUUUGCGUCCCAUUAGCUAGUUGGAGAGGUAACGGCUCACCAAGGCGAUGAUGGGUAGCCGGCCUGAGAGGGUGAUCGGCCACAAGGGGACUGAGACACGGCCCUUACUCCUACGGGAGGCAGCAGUGGGGAAUAUUGGACAAUGGACCAAGAGUCUGAUCCAGCAAUUCUGUGUGCACGAUGAAGUUUUUCGGAAUGUAAAGUGCUUUCAGUUGGGAAGAAAAAAAUGACGGUACCAACAGAAGAAGUGACGGCUAAAUACGUGCCAGCAGCCGCGGUAAUACGUAUGUCACAAGCGUUAUCCGGAUUUAUUGGGCGUAAAGCGCGUCUAGGUGGUUAUGUAAGUCUGAUGUGAAAAUGCAGGGCUCAACUCUGUAUUGCGUUGGAAACUGUAUAACUAGAGUACUGGAGAGGUAAGCGGAACUACAAGUGUAGAGGUGAAAUUCGUAGAUAUUUGUAGGAAUGCCGAUGGGGAAGCCAGCUUACUGGACAGAUACUGACGCUGAAGCGCGAAAGCGUGGGUAGCAAACAGG